CCUGGAAACAGGAGUGAAGUAAAACAGCACAUUUCCUCCAACUAGGUUUACAUUGUUCCUGUUCUUUGGUCAUGCUAUCCACCCAGGACUGCACAGAGCGAGCGGUCAGCCCACACAGGGUGGAAGGUGAGCCACGGCCGAUCCCUUGCUCAACGGGUACCCUAUGUUUCCUGGCUGACAUCCCACUUUGACACCAUCACGUGUUUCCAAUUUUCAUUAAAUAAGGGGAUUUUUCUGGUUAGGGUUAAACCCUAUUAUUAAAAUAAUAAUCUAGCAAGUGAUUUCUGCUGGGUUUAAUUUACUACUCCACGUAGACAUUUCAUAUCCAGACCUUUUUCCAUAACCACACCAGUGCUCUGAGAAUAGGGACG